CCGAAUUCUUCCACACAGAGUUUGAUCCUGGCUCAGAUUGAACGCUGGCGGCAGGCCUAACACAUGCCAGUCGAGCGGAUGAUGGGAGCUUGCUCCCGGAUUCAGCGGCGGACGGGUGAGUAAUGCCUAGGAAUCUGCCUGGUAGUGGGGGACAACGUUUCGAAAGGAACGCUAAUACCGCAUACGUCCUACGGGAGAAAGCAGGGGACCUUCGGGCCUUGCGCUAUCAGAUGAGCCUAGGUCGGAUUAGCUAGUUGGUGGGGUAAAGGCCUACCAAGGCGACGAUCCGUAACUGGUCUGAGAGGAUGAUCAGUCACACUGGAACUGAGACACGGUCCAGACUCCUACGGGAGGCAGCAGUGGGGAAUAUUGGACAAUGGGCGAAAGCCUGAUCCAGCCAUGCCGCGUGUGUGAAGAAGGUCUUCGGAUUGUAAAGCACUUUAAGUUGGGAGGAAGGGCAGUAAGUUAAUACCUUGCUGUUUUGACGUUACCAACAGAAUAAGCACCGGCUAACUUCGUGCCAGCAGCCGCGGUAAUACGAAGGGUGCAAGCGUUAAUCGGAAUUACUGGGCGUAAAGCGCGCGUAGGUGGUUUGGUAAGAUGGAUGUGAAAUCCCCGGGCUCAACCUGGGAACUGCAUCCAUAACUGCCUGACUAGAGUAC
rnacentral:rRNA from 1 species